rnacentral:rRNA from 1 species
CGGAGGGGCUAGCGUUGUUCGGAAUUACUGGGGCGUAAAGCGCACGUAGGCGGACCAGAAGUUGGGGUGAAGUACCCGGGGCGUCAACCUCGGAACUGCUCAAACUAUGGUCUGGAGUCGAGAGAGGUGAGUGGAAUUCCGAGUGUAGAGGUGAAAUUCGUAGAUAUUCGGAGGAACACCAGUGGCGGAAGGCGGCUCACUGGCUCGAUACUGACGCUGAGGUGCGAAAGCGUGGGGAGCAAACAGGAUU